UGAUGACGAGACGCUAAGGCGUUGAAGCAGUGUAUGUCAGACUUCCAAGAAAAGCUCGCAAUGUCACAAAUAAAGAAUGCCUGUACCAUAACCGACACAGGUGGGUAGGUAGAGUAUACUAAGGGGCGCGAGAUAACUCUCUCUAAGGAACUCGGCAAAAUGACUCCGUAACUUCGGGAGAAGGAGUGCCUUAUUUAUAAGGUUGCAAUAACAAGAUCCAAGCAACUGUUUAUCAAAAACACAGGUCUCCGCUAAGUCGUAAGACGAUGUAUGGGGGCUGACGCCUGCCCAGUGCCAGAAGGUUAAAGAAGUUGGUUAGUGUAUGCGAAGCUGAUGACUGAAGCCCUGGUGAACGGCGGCCGUAACUAUAACGGUCCUAAGGUAGCGAAAUUCCUUGUCGGGUAAGUUCCGACCCGCACGAAAGGCGUAAUGAUUUGGAUACUGUCUCGGAGAGAGGCUCGGUGAAAUAGACUUGUCUGUGAAGAUGCGGACUACCUGCACCAGGACAGAAAGACCCUAUGAAGCUUUACUGUAACUUGAAAUUGGAAUUGGACUUUGCUUGCGCAGUAUAGGUGGGAAGCGUUGAAAAUAUUCUUGCGGGAGUAUUGGAGCUAUCAGUGAGAUACAACUCUUGUAAUGUUAGAUUUCUAACUUUGAACCAUAAUCUGGUCAAAGAACAGUUUCAGGUGGGCAGUUUGACUGGGGCGGUCGCCUCCCAAAUGGUAACGGAGGCGUACAAAGGUUUCCUCUGAACGGAUAGAAAUCGUAUCUAGAGUGUAAAGGCAUAAGGAAGCUUGACUGUGAGACCUACAAGUCGAGCAGGGACGAAAGUCGGUCUUAGUGAUCUGACGGUACUGAGUGGAAAGGCCGUCACUCAACGGAUAAAAGUUACUCUAGGAUAACAGGCUGAUCUCCCCCAAGAGUUCACAUCGACGGGGAGGUUUGGCACCUCGAUGUCGGCUCAUCGCAUCCUGGGGCGGUAGUACGUCCCAAGGGUUGGGCUGUUCGCCCAUGAAAGCGGUACGCGAGCUGGGUUCAGAACGUCGUGAGACAGUUCGGUCCAUAUCCGGUGUAGGCGCUAGAAUAUUGAGAGGAGCCUUCUUUAGUACGAGAGGACCGAGAAGGACACACCGCUGGUGUACCAGUUAUCGUGCCAACGGUAAACGCUGGGUAGCUAUGUGUGGAGUGGAUAACCGCUGAAAGCAUCUAAGUGGGAAGCCCACCUCGAGAUGAGUAUUCCC
rnacentral:rRNA from 1 species